CUUGAUUGCUGAUUCGUGCGAUAGCGCGCGACCAAUCAACGUGUUCGUCUACACCGAGGCUUCCUAUCGCGACGAUUUCCACGGAAUCAGGGAACGCACCACUGAGAACUAGAACCCCUUUUCCAGAAAUACCUAAGUAACAUGUAUAUAUUACCAUUACAAAGAUGAACCGUAAUCUGCACUACGAAUCAGACAUAACAAGAAACGACAUUGCGAAGAAUAUGCGAAGUGUAACAGCUCGACACAAUGUAUGACAGCGGCGGAAAUAUGUCAAGGAAUUACUCAGGGGGGAUUUGCUCCGUAACUAUAUUGUAAGUACAACAAGCUCAAGGCUCGACUUUUCGCAGUUGCUAUUUCUCCUUGUUUUUACACGUUUAACAUAUUACGACGUAAUACAUCAAUUUCUUAUCCCAAAUACAUGGUUUUAUUAUAGUUCCAGAUUCGAGAAUCGCAGAAUAACAAAAAUUGGUAAACUUAUCGCGACGUUGAGUGGUCGUCACUUAUGCGAGAUCGUUUGUCACACGCGCUACUUCGUUUCUUACUAUUUCGGUACCGGGAAUUCCCUCGUGCAUGCACGGUUCUUUGUUCUUAUUUCGAUAUACGUAUAUUCGUUACAAACACACGUACAACGAACUCGGCUCAAACUGCGUCGGUUCGGAGCAACGUUCAACGUACGUGUGAACGCACUUUGUACACGAAUUAAAAA